UACGUAGGGCGCAAGCGUUUAUCCGGAAUUAUUGGGCGUAAAGAGCUCGUAGGCGGUUUGUCGCGUCUGCCGUGAAAGUCCGGGGCUCAACUCCGGAUCUGCGGUGGGUACGGGCAGACUAGAGUGAUGUAGGGGAGACUGGAAUUCCUGGUGUAGCGGUGAAAUGCGCAGAUAUCAGGAGGAACACCGAUGCGAAGGCAGGUCUCUGGGCAUUAACUGACGCUGAGGAGCGAAAAGCAUGGGGAGCGAACAGG
rnacentral:rRNA from 1 species